UACGUAGGUGGCAAGCGUUGUCCGGAAUUAUUGGGCGUAAAGCGCGCGCAGGUGGUUUAAUAAGUCUGAUGUGAAAGCCCACGGCUCAACCGUGGAGGGUCAUUGGAAACUGUUAAACUUGAGUGCAGGAGAGAAAAGUGGAAUUCCUAGUGUAGCGGUGAAAUGCGUAGAGAUUAGGAGGAACACCAGUGGCGAAGGCGGCUUUUUGGCCUGUAACUGACACUGAGGCGCGAAAGCGUGGGGAGCAAACAGGAUUAGA
rnacentral:rRNA from 1 species